CUGGCGGUCAGCACGCAGGGUCCCUCGCAGCCAGCCUCGCGGCCCACCACGUCUCGGUGCCCACAGCGGUGACGCUUGAGUGGCAACUACCGUCAGGCCCACAGAGCUUAGCAGGUGGCGGAUCGGGGAAGCUGUGUCACUUCACAGAGGGUGACUGCGUGAGGGGGCGAAGCGGCUCGAGGUGACAUCGCAAGUCCAUUGACCCGCUGUGGUCCUGCAGGUGCUUCAGGGUCUCUGAGGAGCCUUGGAAUCUCAAAGAUGUCCUUCUAGGGUUAAUGGGAAAAGCACUUACCUAUCAAAUUCUGCCCCCUGAUGGUCAAGGGUGGCCUCACAGAUGCUUUUGUGCCUGCAGUCUGCCGCAGCGGGCAUCUCACUCAGAAUAUGGGAGAAGCCGGACUGCAGGAAUGAGCUCCAGUCUUUCCUUGAGAGGGAGACCAGGUGAUGACAGCCAUGAUCCCAUCGGUUUGGCCCCAGAAGUCGGUGACCUUUGAGGAUGUGGCUGUGUACUUCACGCAGACGGAGUGGGAUGGUCUGUCCCCUGAACAGAGAGCAUUGUACAGGGAUGUCAUGCUGGAGAAUUAU
rnacentral:lncRNA from 1 species